rnacentral:rRNA from 1 species
GAUGAACGCUGGCGGCGUGCCUAAUACAUGCAAGUCGAGCGAACAGACGAGGAGCUUGCUCCUUUGACGUUAGCGGCGGACGGGUGAGUAACACGUGGAUAACCUACCUAUAAGACUGGGAUAACUUCGGGAAACCGGAGCUAAUACCGGAUAAUAUAUUGAACCGCAUGGUUCAAUAGUGAAAGACGGUUUUGCUGUCACUUAUAGAUGGAUCCGCGCCGCAUUAGCUAGUUGGUAAGGUAACGGCUUACCAAGGCAACGAUGCGUAGCCGACCUGAGAGGGUGAUCGGCCACACUGGAACUGAGACACGGUCCAGACUCCUACGGGAGGCAGCAGUAGGGAAUCUUCCGCAAUGGGCGAAAGCCUGACGGAGCAACGCCGCGUGAGUGAUGAAGGUCUUCGGAUCGUAAAACUCUGUUAUUAGGGAAGAACAAAUUUGUAAGUAACUAUGCACGUCUUGACGGUACCUAAUCAGAAAGCCACGGCUAACUACGUG